rnacentral:rRNA from 1 species
AUUGAACGCUGGCGGCAGGCCUAACACAUGCAAGUCGAGCGAGCGGCGGACGGGUGAGUAAUGUAUGGGGAUCUGCCUGAUGGAGGGGGAUAACUACUGGAAACGGUAGCUAAUACCGCAUACCAUCAGAUGAGCCCAUAUGGGAUUAGCUUGUAGGUGAGGUAACGGCUCACCUAGGCGACGAUCCCUAGCUGGUCUGAGAGGAUGAUCAGCCACACUGGGACUGAGACACGGCCCAGACUCCGACGGUAGGCAGCAGUGGGGAAUAUUGCACAAUGGGCGCAAGCCUGAUGCAGCCAUGCCGCGUGUAUGAAGAAGGCCUUCGGGUUGUAAAGUACUUUCAGUCGGGAGGCGUUACCUGCAGAAGAAGCACCGGCUAACUCCGUGCCAGCAGCCGCGGUAAUAC